GAGUAGCGAAAGACAGGUGAGAAUCCUGUCCACCGUAUGACUAAGGUUUCCUGGGGAAGGCUCGUCCGCCAGGGUUAGUCGGGACCUAAGCCGAGGCCGAUAGGCGUAGGCGAUGGACAACAGGUUGAUAUUCCUGUCCCAGUUGUUUUUGUUUGAGCAAUGGAGGGACGCAGUAGGCUAAGGAAUGCCUGCGAUUGGAAGUGCAUGUCCAAGCAAUGAGUCUUGAGUAGAGUUAAAUGCUUUACUCUUUAAG
rnacentral:rRNA from 1 species